ACACCUGUUAGCAAGGGCCGGGCAAGACCGGUGCCAGCCGCCGCGGUAACACCGGCGGCCCGAGUGGUGAUCGUGAUUAUUGGGUCUAAAGGGUCCGUAGCCGGUUUGGUCAGUCCUCCGGGAAAUCUGACAGCUCAACUGUUAGGCUUUCGGGGGAUACUGCCAGACUUGGAACCGGGAGAGGUAAGAGGUACUACAGGGGUAGGAGUGAAAUCUUGUAAUCCCUGUGGGACCACCUGUGGCGAAGGCGUCUUACCAGAACGGGUUCGACGGUGAGGGACGAAAGCUGGGGGCACGAACCGGAUUAGAUACCCGGGUAGUCCCAGCCGUAAACGAUGCUCGCUAGGUGUCAGGCAUGGCGCGACCGUGUCUGGUGCCGCAGGGAAGCCGUGAAGCGAGCCACCUGGGAAGUACGGCCGCAAGGCUGAAACUUAAAGGAAUUG
rnacentral:rRNA from 1 species